GUGGCUGGGGUUUGGGGUGUGCUAAUGGGGUGUUUGGACCAUGAGGUUCGCUUGUGUAGCCUUUGAAAGCAGUUACUUGAGAAGACAAAACGAGGCUUUGUCUGUGGAGAGAAACUAGAAAGUACACGUAGACAAUGAGCAUUUCCCGGUUGCCGCGGGUUAUUUCGAGUUAUGCACAAGAGCGUCUGGCCUGGUCACGGGUGAUGGGGUUUUGCGUCGCCAAAACAGGCUUGUAUCUCUGUUUGGUUGUAUAGAUAUCAGCUACAAGCAAGCAAACAAACAAACAAAAAGCAGAUAGCUUCUUAAAUCUACUUCAUAUCAAUGCAAGAAAAGGAAGAAUUUAUCUGACAACCUUUGCUUAACAUCCGACAGUAAAACUACUACCAACACAUUCCCUAUAGCAUAGUAGUACCUCCAGAAAAGGUGGUGUUUCCUUCUGGAGUUAUAGAGUGUGCGCCUAAGUCAGCCCAGCACGUGUUUCCCAAUCCUGUUGUUAGUUAUCUCCCAUCUGACCAGUGUGUUUUUGCAGGGUAGGUCAGGUAAGAGCAGGCGUCUGAAACGACAUAGUGUCAAAAGGAGGGUCAGGACCGAUGGUCCCCUCACUGCUUUCCUUAGCAGGAAUUCAUUACUUCUGGCUACCAUUAGGCAUAUCAUGUGUAAUUGUUUCUGUGGAAACCUCUAACGAGUUUAGCACAUAACGAAGUUACUUCUUAGUAAUAAAAUAACUAAAAUUUGCAGAAACACAAGUGUUCAAAAUGCUAGUACAGCAAAUAAUGUUGUUUUAAUGUAGUUGCUUUUAUUCAAAAGAGGGAGGUUUGAUUUUCGUAAAGUCUAAAUGCCAUUUAACGACUAGCACAAGUUAGAAUUCUAUAGAAAAAAUAACAUGCAUUUUUAGCAUGCACUACAUUUUUGUGUUAUUCAGUGUAAAACUUGCAGCAUAUUAGUGACAUCAAGAAUUAUUCAAAUGCUGAAAAUGAGGGGACACACUUGAAAAACAUAACUGCUACUCUCUUUGGUUUUUUUUUUAGUGUCUUUGCCCACAUCAGGUGUUUAAAGCACCAAUACAGGCUCUGUGCCAAUGUGAAAGCUCCCAUUUCGGUUAGAAAUUAGUUGGAACCUGUGAUAUUUUAAUAUAUGUUGAAAUAGUAGAUAGUAAUUUCUAACUCGGGUUUUAUAAAAGGUUGUGAUUUGAUAUAUCUAGCCUACAGUUAAGUGGAUUAAGCAGGUUAUAAACGACAACAUUCAGAAGGGGCAGGACAAUGGACCCAGGAAGCUGUUGGGAAUAUGUGAAAUACCCUCUUCAUCUCCUGGCUAAUGUCAGAUGGUGAUAUUAUUUCUGCUGGGACCACUGUAUUUCUGUUUUUGUUUGCCUGACAUAACCCUUAUAUGUCUUCCAUUGGACCUGGAAGGAUCUGGGUGUUUUCGCCUCCCUUUAACUACGGUAAAAAUUGAAUGUUUGGCCCUUCUGCUGAGGGCUUAGAACCUUGCUGUACCCCUGCUCCUAGCACACGAUGAGGGGAGACAUUUCCUUGCUACCAGUCCUUCAUGCACAAAGCAGGAUACAGUCUAGCCUAAUAUUUGUUAAUCCAUAAUAGCCUGCCUAAGUGCUGUAUAGUGAAAAAUAUAAUGUGUUUUUGUAUGGAUAAACCAUCUCUGUUGCUGCAAAUAUUUGCUGUUGCAAACUGUUACUGCACAAGUGUGGGAGGGUUUGCCUGAUUUGCUGCUGAUUUGUAUGGUGAGUGACAGCUUUGGACAAAAUCCAAAUCCUACAUUAAUAUUAAUUUAUUGAUGUAAAUUAAUGCAGAACAAACAAUAAUCAGCAGCUAGCUCAACAACUGUAGUAAGCUGUCCACUCUAGCCAUAGGAUUCUUAUUUUGAAGAUGCCUGAUAGACACUUGACAUCAUGUGUUGUUUAGAGAAAGGGAGUAAACUCUUUGCUGAGUUAUGCUUAUGUUAAGGAAAAAAAGUACGGAAAAUUUAUGGGCUUGAAAAGUCCUAGGAAAAAAAUUAAGUGAGGCUCUUUAAAAGCUGUUUAAUGUUUUUUGUAACAGAAGAGGAGAGGCUGUCAUUGGCAAAGAUCUGAAAAAAAUAUUCUGAGGACUAAUUCUAGUUUGAAAUAAGCAGAAGCAUGUAGCAUCAGGGUAUUUUUUAUGGAACUAUAACUAAGGGAAGUUAAUAACUGUAUAACCUGUACACUUGGUGCGUUUACUUACUUCUAUUAAUUAAAUGUACUUUGUAUUGUGUGCCCCAUUUAUUACAUUCUGUGUCAUAUUUGCUGUGGCUGCCGGGGAAGGCAGUGAAGAUGGGUGCUCAUCUAACAGGUGCUCCACUCCCUUUGUUCUUUGUAUACACAUAUUCAAAUCACAUAAGGCAGGGGACAGGAUAGGGCCUGUUAACUCAUUACUGAUUUCCCUAGCAAAUAAACCAGCUGCAGGUCCAAGCCCUGGCUUAGUGCUGAGGAGAAGGUGGCAUUUGUGUGGGACAGGAUGCUUUCAUGGAGCCCCUUAGCCAACUUCUUUUGGGACUUAGAGUGCAGAAUAUAUUUUCUACUUGUAGGUAUUUGUUCUGCCUUAAAGUUGACAGUACCAUCUCAUACCAUCCAUGGUAUUGAGGGACAACCACUUCAUCUUACUGUUGACUACAAUUUCAAUGCUACAGCUUCUGAAAUCCAGAUAAUUUGGCUUUUUGAGAGGCCUCAAAGUAAUCCAAAAUACUUGCUUGGCUCUGUAAAUCAAACAGUAGUUCCAGACUUGGAAUACCAGCACAAGUUUACCCUUGUACCACCAAAUGCAUCUUUGAUGAUCAAUCCAUUGCAUAUCAGCGAUGAGGGCAAUUAUAUUGUAAAAGUCAAUGUCCGUGGAAAUGGGACAAUAGCUGCAAGUCAAAAGAUUCAAGUAGCUGUUGAUGUUCCAGUCACAAAGCCAACUGUACAUACUGAACCAUCUUCAGGAGUAGUGGAAUAUGUAGGAAAUAUUACCCUAAAAUGUAUUCUGGGUAAAGGUACAAGGGUAACUUACCAGUGGAUGAAAAAUGGGAAGCGUCUCCAUGCUGGCCCUAAUUAUACCUUUUCAUCAAACAAUGCUACACUUCUAAUUGUUCCUGUUGUAAAAGAAGACAUUGGGAAUUACAGCUGUCUAGUAUCUAACCCUGUCAGUGCAAUGGAAAGUGAGAUAAUUGCACCAACCAUAUAUUAUGGACCUUAUGGUCUUAGAGUUAAGUCAGAUAAAGGUCUGAAUAUAGGGGCAGUGUUUACAGUUGACAUGGGAGAAGUUAUACUGUUUGACUGUUCAGCAGAUUCAAAUCCACCAAAUACUUAUUCGUGGAUUCGAAGGGAUGACAAUACCACUCAUGUAAUCAAAUAUGGACCCCAUCUGGAAGUUGUAUCUGAUAAAGUGGCCCAGAAGACAAUAGAUUACAUGUGCCGUGCUUUCAACAACAUGACUGGAAAACGAGAUGAAACUCACUUCACUGUCGUGGUUACUUCUGUAGGGUUGGAAAAGCUGGCCCAAAAGGGAAAAUCUUUAUCUUCACUUGCAGUAAUAACAGGAAUUUCAUUAUUUUUGAUCCUAGCUAUGACUUUUUUAUUCCUAUGGAAAAGAUAUCAGCCAUAUAAAGUGAUACAACAGAAGCUGCAAAGCAGGCCAGAGGCUGAUUACAGAAAGGCACAGGCAUUUUCAGGACAUGAAAGUGCUUCAGAUGAUUUUGGGAUAUAUGAGUUUGUCGCUUUUCCUGAUCUUGCCAGUGGUUCUAGGGUUUCAAGUCAAUCUGUUCCUGGCUCUGACUUUGUCCCAGGCCAGGAUAUGCUUAAUACGGUUUAUGAAGUUAUUCAGCACGUUCCUGACCAGCCGCAACAAGACCACCAACAGUAAGUUAAAGGCUGCAUUCACUCAUGUGGUAGCUCAAAGGCAAAAACUUCAGCAUCUGGAACAAUUUAAAUUUUGGUAGCUGUUAUUUGAUUCCAUUGAGAGGGGUAAGGAAGGAAAACAGGUAAAAGCUACACCAGUUUCUCCACCAUUUCCUAUCCAAUUCCUCACUUUUCCUGAAGACACCAGUCUGUUGUUUCAUCAUGUCAGUUUUGUGUAAGUGUGAAAAAAAAGGUAAGAUCUUCAAACACUAUUUCAGAUGAAAAUUCCUGCGUAAUUUAAGGUGGUAACUAUAGCUUCACAGCACUGGGACAUCAGCACUUCCUACUGAGCAGGUUAAAUAUUCAAUCAAAGCAAUUUAAUUGGCAGCACAGCUUCCAGACCUGCCAGCCAUGUGUCAAGUAGAGUUAGGGUGGGCUUUUUUGCCAUGUUGAAACUGGUCAGCUGAUCACUUAUCAAUGGUUAUUAAAAUAGCCACUGAAAUAUUAAUUGCUAAUAUUAAUAUUAGUUGCUUGAGUAAGCAGUGUCUUUAGAGCAAAAGAAUUUUGUUCUGCAGUACCUUGUCUGGGAACUCCACAAAAACACUUUUGCUGAGUUAAAUACCAGGAAGGCCACAGCAUGUUGUUCUUAUGUGGUUAGUGUCUGGUAGACCUGGUUUUGUUCAAGUCACCUACUGUGUAGCGCUUCUUGGCAUAAGAAGAGUGGAUACACUGUAAAGUUUCUGUAAUUGCAGUAUAGCUGCCAUAAAUCUUUCGUGAAUAUUGAAAGUCUUUCUUACAAAUUAAGAACAGGACACAAGACUUUAUUUGGUAACAAGCCUAUUAUAUCACAUUGUCCAUGUUUUUAUGAUGUGUUCUGUUUCUUUUUCGGUUGAAAAGAAAAAUACACACUCUUACCCAUAUACUAAUCAGUUGGCUUAAUAAUCACAAUGUUUAUGUGACUGCAUUAGCAUGCUGUACUUACAGUACAAAAAAUUUUGUGCCAGUUUUAUCUUCAACUGUGUGUCCAAAUUACGUAUGCAAACAUACAGCCAUGGUUGUAAAAACAAGUUGUGAGAAAGCAACAAUGAAUUACUAAUUAUGCUUUUGUUCUGCUUGGCAUUUUUCACUUUGAACCCUAAGAUGAUUUUUGAAGCCAGAUGUACAAAAUAGCAUUCAUAAAGUACAUAUUUUUUUAUUCUUCCCUCCUACAUGUCUUCCUUCUCAAUUCUCUCACUGAUACAUGACCCCUCUGAAAAAAGGAAUGAAUGCAACAAAAAGAUGUAUAUGAAGACAUGGGAACAGGAAAUCAAAGCAUCUGCAAGUACUUCUUUUUCUUUAUAACAUACUGAAAGGAAAUGCCAACAACUCCAAGAAUGGCAAAGGCUUAUGCCACCUUUGCUUGAAAUAGCAAUUUUUCUUCAGACUGACAGUCCCUUUCCUUGGGGUGCUCCAAACUGCCCAUUUCUUAAUUUUUUCUUUUUUAAAGUAAUAAUUCCCUGAAAAAUACAUGUAUUUUUCAUUAAUUUCUUUUCCUUAUUGGUGAACAGAAAAGACAAAGAGACAGCUUUAAAAAUGCAGUAUAAAACCUAUAUAUUUUAGUAAAAUAAUCAGUAGAGGCACAAGAAGAAAUCAGGCCCAAGAUGCCACCCUCACUUGUUUUAUUAAAAAAUGGCAAAAAUCGCAUAUGAGAGUUUUUCAUUGGUGUUGACUUUUACAAGAAUACUGCCAUGAAAAGUAAUAAAUGCAAUAUGACAGAUUGCAAAAUACAUUUGAGGUUUAAAAUAAAGUCUUUUAACUCAUUUAAUGUGACACUGUAUUUUAAUUUACAAACAUAGAAGCUGAUCUGUCAGGCAGUUAGAAUUUAAAAAUGUACAUAUGUAUAUUAUUCAAAAUAAUGUGUUCUCAUUAAAUUCUGUUUCCUUUGCAUUUUAACUGUUUUUCUAUUUUCUGCUGAAGAGCAUGUUUCUCAUUGACUAGGAGAACAAGUAAUAUUCAAGUUAUUUCUUAAAGCUGCAGAAUGUUCAGGCUACUUGCAUAUUAAAAUUGUAAUUCUCCAGUGCAAAUGAAGCCUAUCUUACUCCAUUUAAACAGUGUGCUACAAGUACCUUCACAAAUAGAGGAAUACUCUUCCAGAAUCUUCUAUUAGCAGGCUUCUGAAUCCUGCAGAAAAAUUCACUAUUAUUUCCUCAGAGUCAGCUAUUAGAUGGUGUCAGUUGGCUGCAGCCAGGGAAAAGGGGAAUUAUGAACUGAAUUAAUCUGCAGGAAAAAAAAGGAUACUUCAGUAACAGCUAAUUGUGUGGGAAAUCAUUAGUGUGAGUAAUGAGAAAGCAUACAGUGUCUCCAUCCUUUAAGACAGGCUGAAUGGGAUUAUUUAAAACACUCUUGUUUAUGAAAAAUUAUUUCCACUCAUUUAAAGUACCUCCCUAAUAUGCAUUUAGUAAACAUUCUUCCUGUCUCCAUCUUUAAAACACAAGGAAAAAUAACACAGUUUUCAGUGAAUAUUCUGAUCAUAGUGAUGCUGGAAAAAAGGGAAAAGGACAUCUUCACCGUUGCAUGUGAGGAAAAUAGGAUUUGGCAUUUCACAGAGGCAGCUGAUGCAACCCAAAUAUGCAAGAAGUACUGACGUAAUCUAAAAGAAUGUAGUCACCAGAUUUGCUCCUUAAGAAAUAACCCUCUGACAUGAAGGCAUCAGACAGAGGCUGUAAGUGUAAACAUUUGGGCAAAAUUCUAAAGUACUGAAGUUGUCCUAAAGGACUUACUUAGGAACUCAGGGGAUUCCCCACAAAUUCCCCCAUCGUUCAUUUAAAGCUGACUUCAUCUGUGUGUUUCACAUUGAGACAGCCCUUUGGGAUGUGCGAAGUCUGAUUUUCCGCUUCUUUUUCUUUUCUUGAUGGAGUGCUCUGAAAUGAGCAUACAGAUUUCUUGAGACCAUUCCAUCCAGACCAUCUCAGACGUAUAAUGUCACUGCAGGGCCACAGGGCAGCAAGUGCAAAUGGAUUAAAAAAAAAAUUACUGUUUCUGCAUCUCUAGAGCCUUUGUAUUUAAAACUGACAGUAGUAUACAUUUUUCUAAGUUCUUCUGAUGAAAAUAAAAAGAAUUGGUUCAAUAUCA